rnacentral:misc_RNA from 1 species
GUUUAGCCACGGGCGCAGCGGCAUCCCUGUAGCGCAGCGAAAGGAUAUAGCGGAGCACGGGAACAAAC